rnacentral:sRNA from 1 species
GAAAGUGAGGCGUCCUCUGUCACGAUUC